UAACACGUGGGUAACCUGCCCCGAUGAUUGGGACAACUCGAGGAAACUCGGGCUAAUACCAAAUGUGCCCUCUGGCCAUAAGGCCGCUGGGGAAAGGAAGCUUCGGCCUCCGCAUCGGGAUGGGCCCGCGGCCCAUUAGCUUGUUGGUGAGGUAAUGGCUUACCAAGGCAACGAUGGGUAGCUGGUCUGAGAGGACGAUCAGCCACACUGGGACUGAGACACGGCCCAG
rnacentral:rRNA from 1 species